UACAGUCUGAGAGGAAGUGUUAAACUUCGACCGCACCUGAUCUGGGUAAUGCCAGCGGAGGGAACGAUACUUAGUCUAAU
rnacentral:ncRNA from 2 species